GAUGAACGCUGACAGAAUGCUUAGCACAUGCAAGUCAACUUGAAUUUGGGUUUUUAACUUAGGUUUGGGUGGCGGACGGGUGAGUAACGCGUAAAGAACUUGCCUCACAGCUAGGGACAACAUUUGGAAACGAAUGCUAAUACCUAAUAUUAUGAUAAUAGGGCAUCCUAUAAUUAUGAAAGCUAUAAGCGCUGUGAGAGAGCUUUGCGUCCCAUUAGCUAGUUGGAGAGGUAACGGCUCACCAAGGCGAUGAUGGGUAGCCGGCCUGAGAGGGUGAUCGGCCACAAGGGGACUGAGACACGGCCCUUACUCCUACGGGAGGCAGCAGUGGGGAAUAUUGGACAAUGGACCGAGAGUCUGAUCCAGCAAUUCUGUGUGCACGAUGAAGUUUUUCGGAAUGUAAAGUGCUUUCAGUUGGGAAGAAACAAAUGACGGUACCAACAGAAGAAGUGACGGCUAAAUACGUG
rnacentral:rRNA from 1 species